rnacentral:misc_RNA from 1 species
AACCUAGCACACCUGCGGUGUGUACCUGCGGAAGGAUCAUUACAUGAUUUAACAGGGAGUGGAGGCUUCGGCCAAAGCUCUGUCUGAACCCAUGUCUUUUGCGUACUUCUUGUUUCCUCGGUGGGCUUGCCCGCCGAUAGGACAACCUUAAACUCUUUGCAAUUGCAAUCAGCGUCUGAAAAACUAUAAUAGUUACAACUUUUAGCAAUGGAUCU